AAGGUGUUGUCAGGUGUUACUAAGGUGUUGUUAGGUGUUACUAAGGUGUUGUUAGGUGUUACUAAUGUGUUGUUAGGUGUUACUAAGGUGUUGUUAGGUGUUACUAAGGUGUUGUUAGGUGUUACUAAGGUGUUGUUAGGUGGUACUGAG